UUGAAAGGGGCGCGGGAAGGCGGGCGAGGGGGCCCGGCCCGGCCCUCCGCGUGCCCGCUCGCCCGUCCGCCUCACACAAAGCAGAGCCGGGAGUGAAAGAGCAGCCGGAAAGGGACGGGCCACCGGCCACCCACCCUGCGGCGCCCCGGGCUCCCCUCGCACCCAGCAUCAGCCCCGCGCGCCAACUUACCUCGCGAAGGGAGCCGCCGCCGCGCCCGGUGUGGAGUUGAAAUGAUUGGACAACUUCCUCAAGGACCAAAGUUUGAAUCAAGGUCUCACUGAUACUAAGCCAGAGCUACUCCUAGGACUCCAGACGUCCUCCCUGUGACCACAAAAGAAGCACAGAAGCUACUUUGGCCUGAGUAAAGAGCCUCCUGUGUUCCCACACUCCCUCAUCAAGAAGACUUGGGGGAGCUCACUCGGCUUCCCUGGUGUAUGGAUUUAAGGACAGGACUGUCACUACGAGUGAAUGGAACCGAGAGGGAAAGACGGAAAGAAAUAUCGAUGUGAGAGAAACAUCAAUUGGUUGCUUCCUGCACAUGCCCUAGAGCCUGCAACCGAGAAAUGAUUUCAGGCCUCUCGAUCAACAGGACAAAAGAUGGCUACCCCAUUGCUGCCAAAUGACAUCUCUUCAAUUCAAGUAACCAACCAGGUCAAGAGACAACAGCAUCUAAACUCCUGGGAGGAUCUGAUUUUUUCAGUUUGGGUCAAUUAGUGGGGGUCAGGGAGCAGGGCAUAUGCUCAGAUAAUGCUACUUUUGCGGCCAAAGGAAUGAAGUGCCUCUGGAAGGCAGAUUAUGGGCUGGGCAGAUGACUUCAUCACUAUAGCUCAUUAUUGUCAUCUCCAUGCAAUCCUAUUCCCUUUAUUCUUUUCAUUCUGGUUCUAAAGUCUUCUAAGGUUUUGAUGCCCUGUGGUACCAACAAAGCCAGGGUGCCAUUUCCCUCCCUAGAAACAACUGUUUCUUAAACAAUUAUUUCUCUCCAGGUAGUCCCUGCCUUGUAAGCUUCUUAGCCUGGUUUGCUAGCCUUGGGAGGGACUGCUAGUUUUGCCUUCAGGAGUGUUAGUUAGAUAGGGCCUCACUAACAAAACCAGUGACCUGGUUCAUCUCUCAGCCUUUGGGGAUGAUUAUCUUUUUGCAAACACUUGGGGAGAAGAUAAAACAAAGAGAGACAAUUCAACUCCAUAGCUCCCAGUGUCUUCCUCUCCUCCAUAUCCUAGCCUAAUGGUGCUAGGAUACAAUAGUCUUAACCACCCGAGUUACCACUGUGGAUGAAUAAAUGGUGCUGUAAUAAAUCAUAAAUUCCUAAUGGGCAGGUCAUGGUGAAUAGUCACUCCCCAGGCAUAUAACUUUUUAG